AGCAACGACGCAACGCGGCAACUUGCGACUGCAGCCUGAGUUAUUGGUGGCGUCUCGUAAUUGAUAAUAUUGAAUGCAGCGCAUUGCCAAGCGAAAUCCAUUACUAAGCUCGCUCGGAGUUGCGUUUCUUAACGACGACGACGACGACGUCGCUUCGAGAACUCUUUCUCUCCGGCCACAA